rnacentral:rRNA from 1 species
CAGUCGCCACGGUAAUACGAAGGGGGCUAGCGUUGCUCGGAAUGACUGGGCGUAAAGGGCGCGUAGGCGGAUCACGCAGUCAGAUGUGAAAUUCCUGGGCUUAACCUGGGAACUGCCUUUGAUACUGUUUGUCUUGAGUUCGAGAGAGGUAAGUGGGACUGCGAGUGUAGGGGUGAAAUUCGUAGAUAUUCGCAAGAACACCAGUGGCGAAGGCGGCUUACUGGCUCGAAACUGACGCUGAGGCGCGAAAGCGUGGGGAGCAAACAGGAUUAGAUACCCGAGUAGUCCCUGUCUCUUAUAA